rnacentral:rRNA from 1 species
UCCUGACUGACCGAUAGUGAACCAGUACCGUGAGGGAAAGGCGAAAAGAACCCCGGCGAGGGGAGUGAAAAAGAACCUGAAACCGUGUACGUACAAGCAGUGGGAGCACGCUUAGGCGUGUGACUGCGUACCUUUUGUAUAAUGGGUCAGCGACUUAUAUUCUGUAGCAAGGUUAACCGAAUAGGGGAGCCGAAGGGAAACCGAGUCUUAACUGGGCGUUAAGUUGCAGGGUAUAGACCCGAAACCCGGUGAUCUAGCCAUGGGCAGGUUGAAGGUUGGGUAACACUAACUGGAGGACCGAACCGACUAAUGUUGAAAAAUUAGCGGAUGACUUGUGGCUGGGGGUGAAAGGCCAAUCAAACCGGGAGAUAGCUGGUUCUCCCCGAAAGCUAUUUAGGUAGCGCCUCGUGAAUUCAUCUCCGGGGGUAGAGCACUGUUUCGGCAAGGGGGUCAUCCCGACUUACCAACCCGAUGCAAACUGCGAAUACCGGAGAAUGUUAUCACGGGAGACACACGGCGGGUGCUAACGUCCGUCGUGAAGAGGGAAACAACCCAGACCGCCAGCUAAGGUCCCAAAGUCAUGGUUAAGUGGGAAACGAUGUGGGAAGGCCCAGACAGCCAGGAUGUUGGCUUAGAAGCAGCCAUCAUUUAAAGAAAGCGUAAUAGCUCACUGGUCGAGUCGGCCUGCGCGGAAGAUGUAACGGGGCUAAACCAUGCACCGAAGCUGCGGCAGCGAUGCUUAUGCGUUGUUGGGUAGGGGAGCGUUCUGUAAGCCUGCGAAGGUGUGCUGUGAGGCAUGCUGGAGGUAUCAGAAGUGCGAAUGCUGACAUAAGUAACGAUAAAGCGGGUGAAAAGCCCGCUCGCCGGAAGACCAAGGGUUCCUGUCCAACGUUAAUCGGGGCAGGGUGAGUCGACCCCUAAGGCGAGGCCGAAAGGCGUAGUCGAUGGGAAACAGGUUAAUAUUCCUGUACUUGGUGUUACUGCGAAGGGGGGACGGAGAAGGCUAUGUUGGCCGGGCGACGGUUGUCCCGGUUUAAGCGUGUAGGCUGGUUUUCCAGGCAAAUCCGGAAAAUCAAGGCUGAGGCGUGAUGACGAGGCACUACGGUGCUGAAGCAACAAAUGCCCUGCUUCCAGGAAAAGCCUCUAAGCAUCAGGUAACAUCAAAUCGUACCCCAAACCGACACAGGUGGUCAGGUAGAGAAUACCAAGGCGCUUGAGAGAACUCGGGUGAAGGAACUAGGCAAAAUGGUGCCGUAACUUCGGGAGAAGGCACGCUGAUAUGUAGGUGAAGUCCCUUGCGGAUGGAGCUGAAAUCAGUCGAAGAUACCAGCUGGCUGCAACUGUUUAUUAAAAACACAGCACUGUGCAAACACGAAAGUGGACGUAUACGGUGUGACGCCUGCCCGGUGCCGGAAGGUUAAUUGAUGGGGUCAGCGCAAGCGAAGCUCUUGAUCGAAGCCCCGGUAAACGGCGGCCGUAACUAUAACGGUCCUAAGGUAGCGAAAUUCCUUGUCGGGUAAGUUCCGACCUGCACGAAUGGCGUAAUGAUGGCCAGGCUGUCUCCACCCGAGACUCAGUGAAAUUGAACUCGCUGUGAAGAUGCAGUGUACCCGCGGCAAGACGGAAAGACCCCGUGAACCUUUACUAUAGCUUGACACUGAACAUUGAGCCUUGAUGUGUAGGAUAGGUGGGAGGCUUUGAAGUGUGGACGCCAGUCUGCAUGGAGCCGGCCUUGAAAUACCACCCUUUAAUGUUUGAUGUUCUAACGUGGACCCGUGAUCCGGGUUGCGGACAGUGUCUGGUGGGUAGUUUGACUGGGGCGGUCUCCUCCUAAAGAGUAACGGAGGAGCACGAAGGUUGGCUAAUCCUGGUCGGACAUCAGGAGGUUAGUGCAAUGGCAUAAGCCAGCUUGACUGCGAGCGUGACGGCGCGAGCAGGUGCGAAAGCAGGUCAUAGUGAUCCGGUGGUUCUGAAUGGAAGGGCCAUCGCUCAACGGAUAAAAGGUACUCCGGGGAUAACAGGCUGAUACCGCCCAAGAGUUCAUAUCGACGGCGGUGUUUGGCACCUCGAUGUCGGCUCAUCACAUCCUGGGGCUGAAGUAGGUCCCAAGGGUAUGGCUGUUCGCCAUUUAAAGUGGUACGCGAGCUGGGUUUAGAACGUCGUGAGACAGUUCGGUCCCUAUCUGCCGUGGGCGCUGGAGAAC